UUCCCCGUCGCUCCUCUCCCUGCCACCGCGCAACCAACCUGAAACCUCUCCACUCCAACCACCAAUUCCAUUCUUCAAUCUUCACUGUUAGGCGCUAGGUCCACUACUGCUUCAUCUCUCAGUUUCCAUCUCUCUCACCUCCCACUCAGUCUCUCUCACUCCUACUUUCUCAGACUCUCAUAGUCGCACUCACACCUCUGGCUCUUACUCUCACCUCUCGGCUAUCACUCUCACAGUCAAUUGCCCCCUGUUCACCACAUCGUUUCACACAGACACACAUCGGCAUUGAUGCGCAACUUCACUAUUGUUGCCAUUCACCACUUAGUCUGAGCCCCUAAUAUCCGGCUAGCAACAACGAGGUACGACUCCAAACUCCACACUCCAAUACUCAUCUUAAUUUAUAUGUAUUCAGCCACAGAAUUUUUUGCAAUUUUUAAUUUACUUGAAUUAGUUUAGAUAAAUGAAUUGUGUCACGUUGAAUUCAAUUAGUUUAGGUAAUACGUUUAGCUCAAUAUCUCUAAGGGACUAAUUUAGCUUAGGUCUAGUGUACAAAUUAAACUCCCUCAUUUUCUGACUAGAGUUUUACCUGAAGGAAUAGAGCCAAGCCAAUUAAAGGAUUUUUGCAAGUCGGAUUUAGGGUGCCGUUUGAUAAAACUGAAGUCUGAAAUUUGAAAUAUAAAUUCAUUAAAUUAUUGAAUUGUUAAGUAUUCAAUCUAAUACAUUUGAGUGUAUAUCACAUUCAGUGAUAAGUGAAUAGCUUAUCACUUAAUUUUGGGAGCAAAUUUUGUCUAGAAAAUUUAGUGCCACUUAAUUAAUUCAGAUGUUCAAUUUUUGAUUAUCAAACGGUUUGAAUAUAUUAAAAUCUGAAUCCAUUAAAUUUAAGUUGUGAAUUGAGUUAUUAAACAGGGCCUUAGUCCUGCUGCUACUUAUGUCCUAUGAUAUAAAUUAACCUGAAAUCAAGCCUAUGCGAUAAAUUAAUCUAAAUUUUUUCCUACCACUUAUGUCCUGCUAUUUGAAAUCAAGCCUGCUGCUACUUAUGUCCUGCUGCUACCAAGCCUGUGAUAUAAAUUAAUUUGAAUUUUUCCAUUCUAUUGCUACUUAUGUCCUGCUGCAAAUUGUUAACAAAUCAUAUUUGUCGUUUCAAACAAAACCAAAUGUAUCCAUGUCCAACUCCAAUCAAAUAUUUGUUGCUACUUACAUUGGUUAGAGGUUCUGAUUUCAUUUUCAAUUUUGUUUUUAUACUAGUAAACAUGUUUGGGAAUAUCAAGGAGAGGGAACGUUCAAGUGACUCGCUACAAGAAAAAUAGGGCUUUUGUGACCUGUAAAAUUUUGAGGGUCAUAAAUAUGAAUUCUUUUAUGACUACAAGUUGCAUAUCACAACAAAAAAAAAAGCAAUAAAAUUGCAUCAUUUUACAAUCUUAUGUGACCUGCAACAAUUCCCAUCUAUACGAGUUGCAAAAUGUCCAUAAAACAGUGUCGUAUCUCUUCCUCAUUCUUUUGAAACCCAUAAAACUGUGUCAUAUCUCUUUCUUUUCAUAAAGCUUCAAAUCUCUCUUUUUCUAAUAUUUUCUCCAAACCACUCACUUUAAGUCUGCUUUUUAAUUCAACCUCAACUUUCAUCAAAGAAAUUUCUUCAAGUUUCAACCACAUUUUCGUUAAUUUCUUAUGAAGCUCGCAAUACAACAAAGCAAAUUCUAAAUAUUGGCGAACCACCCAGAAGUCAAACUCUUCAAGUUUCAAAUUUUCGCCUGACCAAUUCCAACUCUUCGAGACCAAACAUGAAACGACUAAGAUUUCCCAGAUACUUCAGCUCGCUUGUUUUGAUUUUUUUUCAAAUUCUCUUUUUUUGUGAUAUUUUUCAAUGUUGUAGUAUUCCAAAUAAAGAAGGAAUUUGGUAUUUCUUUCCCCUAAUUUGUGCUUUUUGUUGAAUGAUUUCUUUUUAUUUGAUGAUCUUGUGUGUUUAGUUGCGCUAUUUAAUUUGAAGGUCUUCAUGGAUAUAUAUAUAUAUAUAUAGAGGCAUGCAAUUGUUUCGAAAUCGAUAGAAUUUGAACUUUACUGCAAGGUUUGCUGUUUAUUGAAGUUAGGGGUUUUUAACAGGAGUAAUACUACUAUGAAAUUCAUAUAGUUUUGUUGUUAUCUCUCAUAUUGUUACUAUAGUCUUAGCAUUUUUCACAGAUCAACUUUAAAUUAUGGAAUUAUUAGUCUACAUGUUCAUAUACGUAACUACUAAUAUGCAAGUUUUAUAUUUUUUUAAAUUUUAGUGAGCAUAUCAAUGUCUUGUUUGCUCUGUUUUGCAUUUUUGAGAAAUUUCUUAUUAUUAUUCUACUCAAAUGACUUUAAUUUUGCUAGUAGUAGUUGAUUGGAUGGAAUGGCUGAAUUAAUUGUUUAAAUCAGUUGGAAUCUAGCCAGGGAAAUGCUUUCCCUACCUCUUUUCCCUUUUCCAGUUUAUGUUAAUUGUGCUGAGGCCUUCUCUCUGCAUAAUGAAAUUUAGUAGUUGUCUAUGAUGAAUGUAGCUCAGCACUAACUUGGUUAAAUAAAAAAAAAUCUGUGUAAACAUUGACGAUGCCAAUGACAACACAAGUUAUAGUGUCAAAUUGGUUAGAAACUCUCCUUUGCAUAUGAUUUUUUUGUAGGAUUUGAGCUUUUAGUUACUUAUUAGUGUUGUUUGGAUGACACUUAGAAAAAUGAGAUAUGGUUAGUAUUUUGUUGGUUUGAAGGAAAGAAAAUAAAAUUAUUUUAACAUAUCAAAGUUUAGUAGAUAUGCAUAAUUUAGGUAUGGAUCUUCCGUCCUUACGUUUCAUAGAUGAUUCCCAUUGAAUUCUUUUUGAUGCUUAUAGGUAUGUCACCCAGUUCUCUUAUAUAUUCAUGCUCAUCACCAGGAAAGUUUGAAUAUGUGGGGAACAACGAGAUUGUGUUCUUCAAUCUGGCAACAUAGAGAGUUUUAACAAUUCAGCUUCUAGUAAUAUGCUUAAUCACCAAUGGUUUUGAAAUCUUGCUAUAUGAUAAUCUUAUUUUAUAUUAGUAUCAAUUUACCUUCAUUUUUGGAUUGAACAGGACAAACUGAAGUGCUAGAAUUUCAUAUACUUGAGUGGUUAUCCCAACUUAUAAGAGAGUUACGUACUGGUAGGUUUCCCAUCUCAUCAAUUUGAUAUUUAUAACCAUUGUAGAUUCGAGAACCAAAUUAGCUAUUGUUAAUGUUUACUAUAAAAUUGAUAUGCAUUUAGGAGAAAUGGGCAAAGAAAACAACUCUAACUACCUAAGAGAGUUACGUACUGGUAAGUUUCCCAUCUCAUCAACUUGAUAUUUAUAACCAUUGUAGAUUCGAGAACCAAAUUAGCUAUUGUUAAUGUUUACUGUAAAAUUGAUAUGCAUUUGAGAGAAAUGGGCAAAGAAACAACUAAGUUGUAGGUGGCCUUUAAAAAGAUAGAAAAGUUAUUAGACGGUGUUAGAUUGGUUAGUUUUAAAUGUUACAUGUCUUUGUGUAUUAAUGGUGCUUAGCUGGGGUCUGCUAGCUUGCUCAAUGUUAUUUGGUGAUUUUGAUUUAAGGUUGUUCUUGGUGUUUUUUCUUCCUUCUAUAAUUUUUUCUUAUACAUAUGGUAAAAAACUGCCAGUUUCUUCUCAUCAAGUCAGCUAGCAUCUGUUGGUGAAAUUCAGGCAAAAUUUUAUUGUAUUGAAAGGAAAAAUAAUGAGUGUAAUGAAACUUCUUCUAAAACAUUCAUUUUAUAAUUGUAUUUGGAGAAGCUAGUCAAAAGCAAGUGAAAAACAUAUAAGCCUACACAGUCACCAUCUAAAUUCAGGGUUGAAGGAUGAAGGCCUAUUCUCAAAAAUCCAAUUUGAUGGUGGGCCAAUCAGAUUUUUAAAUGUUUGAGAAAAUUAGAUUUCUAGAUGGUGGGAACAGUUAAUUAAUUGCAUCAUGUUACCUGGAAAUUGCAUUUUUGUUGUCAAAAUUUGCAUCCUGGGGCUUCUUUCCUCUUUUUCUAACCUUAAAUUUGUUUACAGACUUUAGUGAAAUAGCUUAUUUAUAUAAAGACUUGCAUACUAUUGAUAACUAAUUUUUCUUUAUUAGAGACACUGGAUUUCGCAAGUAUAGAUUUGAAUUGUAAUUUCUGCUAUUAGAAUAUUACUUUAAUCAUUCGCACUGCUUAUCUGGAAAAUUUUCAUCUUCCAUUGAAUGGGUAUGCAUUCAUCACAGCGAGAGAGAAUAUACUUUCGUAUUGAGAAUACUGGAGACUUAACAUAUAUCACAAUGCAAGUUGUUUCAGUGAUUGAGAAACGAGUAGAUCAGUUGGACUAUAUUUGAAUUGACACUCUUGGUUAGAUUGAGAUUUAACCUAAUCUACCUUUGGGGCCAUCAUAACGGAAGCUUUUCCAUCAACCUUCACUACUGUGAUUACAUAUGUUGUUGUCACACUACGAUUAACAGGUCCGGCUAUUGUUAUGAGUACCAUGUAUGCCUGUAGCAUUCUUUACAACACACAAUUACCACUAGUAUUGCAUUCAACAAGACGGAUGUAGCACAAGAUUAGUUUGCUUUAGAGGUAUCAUCAUAUAAUCAACUGCUUGGUUAUGUUUAUGCAUCUCAUUCUGACCAUAUAUUUGACAGUUUACUGGGUAUAAAGUAUAUAAAUAACUGUUUGCUUGCUAUCAUGGACAGUUUUAGCAAUAGUCUCUCCUGUGCAUACUUUCUUCUAGUCUCUAUUUCUUAGGCUGACUUUAUGCAUCUCAAAUUAUUUUCUUAGAGAUAAGAGCAGAUUUCAACCUCAAUGUGGAUUAUAUGCAAAAAACCAUUAGUUUCUAGAUAACGCAUUUGGAAGUCAAUGCCUUACCCAUGGUUCCAGAUUGAAUUUUUAGUACUUUUGAUGCAUGAAUUUUCAUGCAUGACUUUUGACCAUGUAUCACUUAGAAUCACUAAGUUUGAAUAUGGAAUCCUUUACUUAUUUGUUUCGUUUGAAAGAAUCUAAGUGUUACUGGCUUGUAGUUAUUUCAAUUAAUUGAUGUGCAGAAAACUGGUAUAAUAAUAUUAAGAGAAAAAUGCAGUAUUGGUACCCAAAAUUUGACACAUGAGCGGUUUUAGUCCCCAAAUUUUGGACUAAAACAAAUCUGGUACCCUAACUUUCAAAUUUUGAGCACAUUUAGUACCCUUAAUGAUUUUUUCCCAAAUUGCUACUGGAAAAAGUCAUGUGACAGUCAUAUGUCCGGCCACUAUUGUAUAAAAAUGUCAAAAAAAUGUCAAAUGACAUUCUAAUACUAAGUAUUAAGUUUAAGGACUAAUAAUGUAAUAAAAAAACCUAAGAACUAAAUAACAUCACAUGAGUCAAUUGAUUGCCACCAAGAACAAAAGCAACUAUAAGAACACAAUUAUCAAGAUCAAUCUUUAUUGUCUUGAUUCUAGCCUUUUGAAAGUAGAAUCUAUUGCAUUCAUGCUUCUUGACGAACCGGGUAUAAGAAAUUGAUGUCUUCGACAUAUGCUGGAUCACGCCAUGCCCAACUUGAAUUUUUGUUGAAGUUUGGUUCUUAGGUUUUCUUUUGGAGAGAGAGAGAGAGAGAAAGAGAAAUGGAACACAGAUAGAAAUGAGUUCGGCAGAGUUUUACAUUAUUUCCUUCUUCUAUUAUUUUUUAAAUGACUCAUAUGACAUUAUUUGGUCCAUGGGUUUUUUUAUUACAUUAUUAAUCCUUAAACUUACAACUUAGUAUUAGAAUGGCAUUUGACAUUUUUUUGACAUUUUUUUAUACAAUAGUGGCCGGACAUGUGACUGUCACAUGACUUUUUUCGAUAGCAAUUUGAGAAAAAAUUGUCAAGGGUACUAAAUGUGCUCAAAAUUUGAAAGUUCGAAUACCAGAUUUGUUUUCGUCCAAAAUUUGGGGACUAAAACCGCUCAUGUGUCAAAGUUUAGGUACUAAAACUGCAUUUUUCUCUAAUAUUAAACAAGUAACCACUUUUAAAUUUGGUUAUCUAUUUAUCAAUGUCCUAUUUUCCUUUGAUACACAUAUAUGAAGUCUGAAGAUUAUUAGAGUACUAAAAUCGUAAGUUUAAACUGAUUGACCAUGCUGUAAAUUAAAGAUCAUCUUGGUGCUGUGGUCAAACUGAUUACUCACUUUAGGGAUCAUUGGUUUUUGUUAUAGAAAGUUCAUGUUCAGGAUGUAAUUCCUUUUUUGAAUUUGUUUCAUUUUGCAGGUUUAGGAUAUCAUUUCUUGGAUAUGAUGGAAAAAUGAAUUUGAGGCCCCAGCCAUGGCUUAAUCUACCUCUUAGAACGUUUUCUUAUGAUUCGAGCCAUUCUCUGUGAAGUUGGGAUGGUACUGCCUAUUUGUAUUUGUGGUAUUGUAAUUUUGAUGAACAUUAGUGUAUACUGCGAGAUUCGAUUAGUAUGUUAACUAAUGGAAGAUUUCAUUCAUUAAUACUCAAAAGAGUAGCUAGUUAAUUUGCC
rnacentral:lncRNA from 1 species